CAAGUCGAACGAAGCAUCUUACCGGAUUCUUCGGAUGAAAGUUUGGUGACUGAGUGGCGGACGGGUGGGUAACGCGUGGGUAACCUGCCCUGUACAGGGGGAUAACAGCUGGAAACGGCUGCUAAUACCGCAUAAGCGCACGAGGAGACAUCUCCUAGUGUGAAAAACUCCGGUGGUACAGGAUGGGCCCGCGUCUGAUUAGCUGGUUGGCAGGGUAACGGCCUACCAAGGCAACGAUCAGUAGCCGGUCUGAGAGGAUGAACGGCCACAUUGGAACUGAGACACGGUCCAAACUCCUACGGGAGGCAGCAGUGGGGAAUAUUGCACAAUGGGGGAAACCCUGAUGCAGCAACGCCGCGUGAGUGAAGAAGUAUUUCGGUAUGUAAAGCUCUAUCAGCAGGGAAGAUAAUGACGGUACCUGACUAAGAAGCUCCGGCUAAAUACGUGCCAGCAGCCGCGGUAAUACGUAUGGAGCAAGCGUUAUCCGGAUUUACUGGGUGUAAAGGGUGCGUAGGUGGCAGUGCAAGUCAGAUGUGAAAGGCCGGGGCUCAACCCCGGAGCUGCAUUUGAAACUGCUCGGCUAGAGUACAGGAGAGGCAGGCGGAAUUCCUAGUGUAGCGGUGAAAUGCGUAGAUAUUAGGAGGAACACCAGUGGCGAAGGCGGCCUGCUGGACUGUUACUG
rnacentral:rRNA from 1 species